rnacentral:rRNA from 1 species
GACGAACGCUGGCGGCGUGCCUAAUACAUGCAAGUAGAACGCUGAAGGAGGAGCUUGCUCUUCUGGAUGAGUUGCGAACGGGUGAGUAACGCGUAGGUAACCUGCCUGGUAGCGGGGGAUAACUAUUGGAAACGAUAGCUAAUACCGCAUAACAGUAGAUGUUGCAUGACAUUUACUUAAAAGGUGCAAUUGCAUCACUACCAGAUGGACCUGCGUUGUAUUAGCUAGUUGGUGGGGUAACGGCUCACCAAGGCGACGAUACAUAGCCGACCUGAGAGGGUGAUCGGCCACACUGGGACUGAGACACGGCCCAGACUCCUACGGGAGGCAGCAGUAGGGAAUCUUCGGCAAUGGACGGAAGUCUGACCGAGCAACGCCGCGUGAGUGAAGAAGGGUUUCGGAUCGUAAAGCUCUGUUGUAAGAGAAGAACGAGUGUGAGAGUGGAAAGUUCACACUGUGACGGUAGCUUACCAGGAAGGGACGGCUAACUACGUG